CUACGGGGUGCAGCAGUGAGGAAUAUUGCACAAUGGGGGAACCCUGAUGCAGCAACGCCGCGUGGAGGAUGACGCAUUUCGGUGUGUAAACUCCUUUUAUAUGUCAAGAAAAUGACGGUAGCAUAUGAAUAAGCACCGGCUAACUCCGUGCCAGCAGCCGCGGUAAUACGGAGGGUGCAAGCGUUACUCGGAAUCACUGGGCGUAAAGGACGCGUAGGCGGGUUGGAAAGUCAGGUGUGAAAUCCUACAGCUUAACUGUAGAACUGCACUUGAAACUUCUAAUCUAGAGGAUGGGAGGGGGAGAUGGAAUUAGUGGUGUAGGGGUAAAAUCCGUAGAUAUCACUAGGAAUACCUAAAGCGAAGGCGAUCUCCUGGAACAUUACUGACGCUAAGGCGUGAAAGCGUGAGGAGCAAACAGGAUUAGAUACCCUGGUAGUC
rnacentral:rRNA from 1 species